UCUUCCUUGGUCUAGUGGUCAUGAUUUCCGCUUGUCAUUAACCCCGAUAAGCGCGGGAGACCGGGGUUCGAUUCCCCGAGGGAGAG
rnacentral:tRNA from 1 species